UACGAGAGGCCCAAACGUUAUUCGGAAUUACUGGGCUUAAAGAGUUCGUAGGCGGCGCAGAAAGUGGGGUGUGAAAGCCCUCGGCUCAACCGAGGAAUUGCGCUCCAAACUACUGUGCUUGAGGAAGCUAGAGGUGAGCAGAACUGGAUGGUGGAGCGGUGAAAUGGCGUUGAUAUCAUCAGGAAUACCGGAGGCGAAGGCGGCUCACUGGGGCUUUUUCUGGACGCUGAGGAACGGAAAGCCAGGGUAGCGGAACGGG
rnacentral:rRNA from 1 species